CUGGUUGUCGUACUUUUGCAUGGAGUUAUUGUACUCGAACUUGGAGUUCUCGUUGUUGUUGUUGUUGCUGUAAUAACCUCUAGUAUUGUAGUUGUUUCUUGAGUCCUGCUGGUACUGGUUUGGGUUGUAGUUACUGUUCUCCCCCUUCAGGUCAUAGUAGUACUUCCCUUUUUCCAAGUACCUUGUGUCACUCAUGCCUUGCUUCUCAUCAUUGCUGUAGCUAUUGGCACCAUUGUAGUAGUAGUUGUUGUUCUGGUUCCCCAUGUUGGUGUAUCCACUUUCUUGAAGGCUUUUUUCACCGAAGUUUUGUUGCUGCUCCUGAUCAUAAGCAUUGUUGCUGUAGUAGUUGGUGUUUGUGUUGGUGGUUGUGUCAGUUGGAUAAUUGGUGUAGGUUUCUUGGUUUUGGGUUUGGGUCUUGUAUGGCUGGGAAUUAGUGGUAGUAGUGUAGGGUGCAUUAGCUAGUUUAGUGGUGGUGGGGAACUGGGUGGUUUCUUGACCAUAUAGACCAUAACCAUUUUGGUUGUCUGGGAUGAAGGCUGGAUCUUGUUCUUGCUUGCUCAACCCUUCUUCUUCUUCUUUGCCGGGGAGUGUUUUAUCUUGAGCGUUAUUGUUGCUGAUGGUGGUAGUGGAGGGGGUGGUGGUGGCGCCACUGACUUUGCUAAAGAACUGGCUCUCUCUGGCAUGAAUUUGCACAGAUAAAAUGGCUAGGAGGAAGAGAAAGGAAAUGAGUCUUGGAGAGGGAGCCAUGGCUAAAGAAAGGAUAGCGUUGCUGUGUAUAACUAGUCUAUAGCAAUGUGUGGAGGUGCACACUUUAUAUAGAAAGACCUUUCAAUCACUCCAGUUUUUUCUACUCUUUUAGGUGGAAAUUGGAGGGAAUUGGUGAUGAUGGUGGUCCCUGCUGGAGACCAAACUUUUAACAAAAGAACUCCUUUUUCCUCUUGUUUCUGUGAUUUAUAUCUUGAUAAUCAUACUUAUUUUUCUCUCUGUAAUUAAUUUCGUUAAUAUUUGAAUUUUGUUCCCUCUAAGAUCAGCUAGUUCCAGCAGUGACUCUAAAUAAAUCCCAUAAUUCAAA
rnacentral:lncRNA from 1 species